GUCUGAGACUGCGAGAGGGUCGUAACCAUGAGGGGUUCCUGUGAGAGGUCUGGGGAGGAUGAAGAGCAGAAAGAAGAGGCUAUGGUGGCCUGUGGGCGUCUUUCAGGGGUCCCCGAGGCCGAGCAGGGUCCCGAGGCCAAUUGGGACUCCGACCUGGAGACGGAAGGCACCGAUGGGCUUGGAGAACUGGUCAGGGACACACUGUACCUGAGGUCUUGCCGGGCCCAUAGUGUUGUGCCCAUCUCCUGCUUUCUGCGCCAAGGGAGCGCCCAAGAGCUGAACCUCCGGCACCGUGGCCUGGGGCCCCAGGGCGCCCGGGCUCUGGCUUCCUCAUUGAGCUCCAAUCCAUAUGUCAAGCGGCUGGACCUUCGAGACAAUGGGCUCUGUGGGGCAGGUGCAGAGGCCCUGGCAGGUGCCCUGAGCAAAAGCAGCAGCAUCCAUGGUAGGUGCUGGGUCUGGGGCAGGUGGGCAGGCGUGUCCUCCUUUUCCUCAGGGAUGUGCCUCCAUCGUUGAAAGCUGGGCCGUGUCACCUGGGGCCUGCUGGUGUUGCUGGUGGAUAGAAGAGGGGCCUCAUCACAGGAGGGGGCAUGUGGGGUGGAGUUAGACCCUCUGCUGUGCAGCCGAUGCCUGAUAGAAGUCCUUUCCUCACCCACCCCACACCAUCACUCCCCUCCCUUGCUGGCCAGCAUCCCCCUCUUCACCUAGCACAUGGGAGACUCCCAGUACCUGAAUGCAGGAUGGGAGAGUCCUUCCACACAGAGAGGUGGGAGUUGGGCAUUGUAAGAAGCAGGUAGGCAAUGUGGGAGUUUGAUGGGGCUGGAUCCAAAUGCCAGUUCUGCCACUGAAGAGCUGGAUACCUGGGCAAGCAGCUUAACCUCUCUGAGCUUCAGUUUCUGAUCUGUGAAAUGGCCCCCAAAAUACCUUAUGGGCUUGGGGCUGUGGUGAGCAUGAAGUGAAAUGCACUCCUGAAGUGGUCAGAAGAGUGUGUGACCCAUGUACGUGCUCCAUGCAUGGCCACUUGGGCUAUUAUUGCCAAUCCUGGCAACGGGGCUGUGAGGGCUUCUGAAGUGGGUGGUGAUAUCACUGCCAGAUGCAGCCAUCGACGGUAUAGCUGCCCCCCACCACAGCAGUCUCUACAGUACCAGGAGGUAGGCGGUUUUAACCACUUGACACAGAAGCUGGUGGGCACACAGGGAGGGGGAGGUCAGGGGCAGAGGGGACCCAGCCAUUGGGAGCCAGAGCCACCAUGCAACCCCAGGACAGUUAACCUGUAAGUCCCCUUCCUCAGCCUCAGACCUGGAGGUUUGGGGGAUGGCAGAAGUAGGGGAGUGCCUGGCUUUGCAUCCCACUGGCCGAGGAGUGGUUCUGUCCCCCAGAUGUGGACCUGUCGGAGAACCAGCUGGGAGUGGCAGGAGCCCAGGCCCUCUGUGCCGCCCUCACAGUGAACCAGGCCAUGCGGAAGAUGCAGCUGUCAGGGAAUGGCCUGGAGGAGCAGGCGGCCCAGCACCUUGCCGAACUCCUGCUGGCCCACACAGACCUGAAGUCCCUGGACCUGAGCUACAACCAGCUGAAUGACCAAGCAGCCACACGGAACUCUUCAUUCCUUCCACAAAUAUCUCAUUGCGCGCUGCUGUAUGUGCUGGGCACUGACUUAGCCACCAGGGAUCCACCUUGAACAAAACCAAGUUCCUGACCUCAAGGGACAAUGUUAACAACAUCAUUCUGAGGGAGACACUUGGACCAGCCCUGGCAGAAAACACAGGACUCACCGAGCUUAACGUGAGCUGGAAUCACCUCCGGGGCCCAGGAGCUGUGGCAUUUGCCAGGGGACUGGAGGCAAACAUCUUCCUUAAAGUUCUAGACAUCUCAUACAAUGGCUUUGGGGAUCCUGGAGCCUCUGCGGUGGGUGAGGCUCUGAAGGCCAACAACGUGUUGGAGGAACUCAACAUGAGAGACAGUCUCCUGCUGGCCUUGAACUCUUGGGCUGAAGCAGUCUUCCUGCCUCAGCCUCCCAAAGUGCUGGAAUUACAGUCAUGGGGAGUUCAUCGUUGUUACAUAGAGACCUGUGAUUCCUAUAGCACAGGCGGAUGGCUGCGAAUUGCACACGGUGUAUAAAGCAUCUCCGGCAGAGCCUGGUGCAUGUAACAACCGCAUCUCUGCGAUGGGAGCCCUGAGCCUGGGCCUGGGCCUCCGGGUCAACCAGACGCUGAGGAUUCUUGUACAGCCUCACCAGAGCAUUCUGUCUGACUAUCUGAUGGAGACACCUUCUGAGCCGAAACAGUGUGGCCAUAGUGGCUGUGUCCUCAGAGAUGAGGAGCCCCUCCUUCCCUUUCACAUUGCUCUCUGGCCUUCCCGGACCUGGCUUCUCGCAGCUUUGUGUGCGUGUUUCUCAGGUGUCCAGGAAUCCCAUGCGAAGUGAAGGCUGCUUUGGUCUCCUCAAGUCUGUCCAGGACAAUCCAGCCUCUGCCCUGGAACUGCUGGAUUUCUCAGAUAUCCAGGUGAACGCAGAGUUUGAUGGCCUUGCUAGCUCAGUGAGGGGAAUUCUUCCAGAACUCUGCAUAAAGACUGGCGCUUGCAGAGUGGAGUAUAAAAAGGAGUUGCUGCCAGUCUUCAGAUCAGCCCUGCCAGCGUCUGUCCCUAAGUGACCUUGGAGUGUGGCUUCCUCAUCUCCAAUCAGCUGCUUUGACCUCCAGGGUAUAUACUUGAAAGAAAUGAAGACAUAUGUCCCCACAAGAACUCGUGCAUGAAUAUCCAUAGCAACAUUAUUUAUAAUAUUCUAAGAGUGAAAAUGCCCACCAGUGGAUAAAUGCAAUGUGGUAUAUCCAUACAGUGGAAUAUUAUUUGGCAAUAAAAAGGAAUUUGAGGUGAUACCAAUGUUCUAAAAUGUAUUGUGGUGAUGGCUACGUAACUGUGCAUAUUCUAAAGGCAAUUGAAUUACAGAUGCUUUACAUGAAUGAACCGUAUGGUAUGUGAACGGCAUCUCAAUAAAACUGUUUCGAAAAGAAGGAAAAGGACGGACACAUGCUGAAAACGGGUGAAACUAGAAAACAUGGCGCUAAGUGAAAGAAGCCAGCCACAAGAUCACGUGUCGCAUGACCGCAUUUAUGUGAAACAUCCGGAGUAUGCAAAUCUAUACAGACAGAAAGUAGAUUAUACAUUGCCUAGGUGCAGAGAAAUGGAAGUAUUGGAGGUUGACGGCUAAAGGAUGUGGAUUUCUUUGGGGGGUGAUAAAAGUGUUCUAAAAUUGAUUGUGGUGAUGUGCGACUCUAUGAAUACGCUAAAAACCGCUCGAUUGUACAUUUUAAAUGGGUGAUUUAUGCGGUAUGUGAAAUACAUCUCAAGAAAGCUGCUGCAAAAAAUAUCAUACGGGUUGAGCCUAGUGGUAUUAAAAAAGUAUAAAUAUGGCCAGGCGCGGUGGCUCACGCCCAUAAUCCCAGCACUUUGGGAGGCCGAGGCGGGCGGAUCACGAGGUCAGGAGAUCGAGACCAUCCUGGCUAACAUGGUGAAACCCCGUCUCUACCAAAAAUACAAAAAUUAGCCGGGUGUGGUGGUGGGCGGCUAUAAUCCCAGCCACUCGGGAGGCUGAGGCAAGAGAGUUACUUGAACACAGAAGGUGGAGGUUGCAGUGAGCCAAGCUCACUUCACUGCACUCCAGUCUGGGUGACAGAGCAAGACUCGGUCUCAAAAAAAAAAAAAAAAAAAAAAAGGAAGAAUCAGGCUCAGCGCACUGGCACAUGCUUAUAAUCCCAGAAAUUUGGGAGGCCAAGAUGGGAGGAUCACUUGAAGCCAGGAGUUCCAGACCAGCCUGGGCAGCAUCGUGAGACCCCCGUUUCUACAAAAAACAUUUAAAAAUUAGCUGGGCAUGGUGGCAUGUGCCUGUCGUUCCAGCUACCUGGGAUGCUGAGGUGGGAGGAUCACUCAAACCUGGGAGUUUGAAGCUGCAGUGAGCCAUGAUUGCACCACUGCACUCCAGUCUGGUUGAGAGAGUGGGAACCUGUCUCGAAAAAAAAAAAAAAAGAAUGGAAGGAUCAAACUGGGCAUGGUGAUGCAUGCUUGCCUGUAGGCCCAGCCUACAAGGGACGCUGAGGCAGGAGGAUCAUUUGAGCCUGGGAAUUUGAGCCCAGCUUGAGCAACAUAGUGAAAUCCUGUCUAAAAAAGAAAAAAAGGAAGAAUCAAAUAAUUGUUCCAAAGUCUUUCAAAAGGAGUAUUGAGUCCCAACUCGGCACUUUCCUGAGCAGGGAUAUGUCUCCUCUCCUUCUCACUAAGGAGCCAGAAACUCACCCCUUCUCACUAAAAAAGUGAGAAAAAUAAAAAUAGCUCAGAGAACUUUGAGCUAUGUGAGGCACGCAGAAUUUAUCAGGUCCGGAGACAUGAAUAUGGGACUUCAGGCAGGGCAUGAUGGCUCACGCCUGUAGACUCAGGAGGCCAAGGUGAGCCCAAGGUGGGAGGAUCACUUUAGUCCAGGAGUUUUGAGACCAGCCUGGGCAACAUCAGGAGAUCCUUGUCUCCUCAAAAACUUAAAAAAAAAAAAAGCUGGGCAUGGUGGCACACACCUGUGGUCCUGAGUCAGGAGGUUGAGGCUGCAGUGAGCUAUGACCAUACCAGUGCAUUCCAGCCUGGGUACACAGCGAGACCCUGUCUCAAAAUAAUAAUAACAAUAAUAUGCUGGGUGCAGAGGCUCAUUCCUGUAAUCCCAGCUCUUUGGGAGGCUGAAGUGGGUGAAUCACUUGAGGUCAGGAGUUCGAGACUAGCCUGGCCAACAUGGUAAAACCCUAUCUUUUCUAAAAAUACAAAAAUUAGCCAGGUAUGGUGGUGCAUGCCUGUAAUCCCAGCUACUUGGGAGGCUGAGGCAGGAGAAUCGCUGGAGCCCGAGAGGUGGAGGUUGCAGUGAGCCGAGAUCAUGCCACUGCACUCCAGCCUGGAUGACAGAGCAAGACUCUGUCUCAAAACAAAACAAAACAAAACAAAAAAAUAAUAAUUAUAAUAAUGAAAAGAAAAAGAAAUGAAUAUGGGACUUCAGUAACAUAUUUCUUAUCCAUGCCCGGGGGCAAUUGUUUAAAGGCAUUUUGUUCCUGACUAGCUUAACCCAUUAUCUUCCUGUUUCUGGAAUUUAUGAUACAAAGAAUAAUGUAUAGACAA
rnacentral:lncRNA from 1 species